rnacentral:rRNA from 1 species
GUAGGUGGCAAGCGUUGUCCGGAAUUAUUGGGCGUAAUGCGCGCGCAGGCGGUUCUUUAAGUCUGAUGUGAAAGCCCACGGCUCAACCGUGGAGGGUCAUUGGAAACUGGAGAACUUGAGUACAGAAGAGGAAAGCGGAAUUCCACGUGUAGCGGUGAAAUGCGUAGAGAUGUGGAGGAACACCAGUGGCGAAGGCGGCUUUCUGGUCUGUAACUGACGCUGAGGCGCGAAAGCGUGGGGGAGCAAACAGGAUUAGAUACCCUGGUAGUCCACGCCGUAAACGAUGAGUGCUAAGUGUUAGGGGGUUUCCGCCCCUUAGUGCUGCAGCUAACGCAUUAAGCACUCCGCCCUGGGGAGUACGGCCGCAAGGCUGA